UAGUUUUGUCUGUUAAUUUCUGAUUCUGAGUUUUUUAACAUUAAAUUUUGUAUCCUAGGUAAUCAUACCACGACUAACAUGAACUCCAAGACUUCGAUGCACUCCUGAGCAUCUAACAAGUGUUAAUGAUUUCAAUUUUAAGCAGCUAUUACUUACCUGAUACAAAUGAAAACACCCAAGUUCCAACUUGCCCAUCGUGGUUG